GGGGCUUACCAUGCAGUCGACGGAGAGGCCCUGCUUUUGUGGGGUGCUCGAGUGGCAAAGGGGUGAAUAACACGUGAGUAACCUGCCCUUGACUUUGGGAUAACUUCAGGAAACUGGGGCUAAUACCGGAUAAGAUCUCCUGCUGCGGGGGGGGGGUUGGAAAGUUUCGGCGGUGGGGGAUGGACUCGCGGCUUAUCAUCUUGUUGGUGGGGUAGUGGCUUACCAAGGCUUUGACGGGUAGCCCGCCUGAGAGGGUGACCCGCCACGUUGGGACUGAGAUACCGCCCACACUCCUACGGGAGGCAGCAGUGGGGAAUAUUGCACAAUGGGCGGAAGCCUGAUGCAACAACGCCGCGUGCGGGAUGACGGCCUUCGGGUUGUAAACCGCUUUCGCCUGUGACAAAGCGUGAGUGACGGUGAUGGGUAAAGAAGCACCGGCUAACUACGUGCCACCCCCCGAAAAAAAAAA
rnacentral:rRNA from 1 species